CUGAUCUCUCUUUGAUGUUUUAAAUUGGGAUUUCUGGGAUUAUUGGAUUGAGGUUCAAUUUGAGGAAAAUCCUAUAUGUUUAUGAGUUUGAAUAAAUAACAUUGGCUUUGUUUACCAAUUUUCAAGGUGCAAAGUGCUUAGUUGUUAUUCUAUCAUGCUCUAUUGCUACUCAAUUUUGGACUUAGUUGUGAUUCAAAAUGCUUACUUGAGAGAAUUGUAAGGUAGAUCUGAAAGUGCUAGUGCAACUUUGGAACUUCUUCUCUUAAACCUUCUUCAUUCAUCUUCACAAUCUAAAGAUUGUUGAAUUCAAGAGGACUCUAGUUUGGGGUUUUUGAAUAUCAAAAUUUCUUUCUUACUUUAAUGUUGUUAAAGCUAGCUUGUUGUUGGGACUAUUUUUUACAAUGGUUAUUGCAUAGCACCAAUUUAUAGGACAUUGUUUGCAAGUAAUUUUUUGUUUCUUUGUUGUAGGAUCUUUUCUAUUUUUUCUUAUCUGAAGGGAGGGUGUAGAAAGAUAUUCCUUUGCAUGUUAUAUAUAGGAUUUGCAGGGUUGAAGACCCAAAAUUAGCAGUGGGGGUCUGUAAAAGAAAAGAAGUAAGAGAGCUAAAGCUGGAAUUUGUUUCUUCAUUUUUUUGCUUUAAACUAUAUUUUAAUUUGAACUUUACAACUUCAUAAGAUAUUCCUUUGCAUGUUUUCCAUCAUGUAUUAACCUAAUUGUUAUUGUUUUCUCAGCAAAUUCAGUUGGUGUUGUCUCUGAAUUUAAUGCACAGUUGCAGAUUCUUGAAUUGCUCGACAACAUAAGUGUUUAUUUUUAAGUGAAAAGAUUAUUAAUUUAAUGUUUCUGUACUAGCAGCACAGUUUGGGUUAUGCAAGCAGAGGAAACCUCUAGUUUAGAAUGAAUGCUGUCUUAAUUCGCACUUGUUUUACAUUAUAGGCAACAUUAAGUGGUAGUUACAAGGUACUAUUGCACAUACAUGAUAUUUAUAAUGCACCUUUGUGAUUAUUCAAUGAACAAUGCUUUUGAUUCUUCUUUGAAUCCUUAAAAAUAUGUGGCAUUAUUAUAGUUGCUCAACUUUAUGAAUUUGAUUUACCUAUAGGUGGUUUAUUAUGAAUUUAUUAAUAUUUAUUUAAAUAAUUAGUUUAAAAUUACUACAAAACCAAACACACAAACUAGGCCAAAUACUCAUCAAUAUAAUUCAUAUGCUUUUAACUUCACAAAACAAAGCGUUUAAUAGUCUAUGGAUAAAUCUCAUGAUCAUAAGAAGCAUGUAUAAGAAUUAAACAAAUAGGCAUAACGAUAAGCAAAGAUAAUGUCAUUAUUUAUGAAGGUGUCCAUAAAAUCCCCCAUUUCAUAUAUAUGAUAUAAUCUCUCAUAGAGAGUCAGACAGAAAAAGUGCAAGAAAAACACAUCCAAAUUGGAAGGUUAAUAAGGCUUCUAGAGUACUGGUAGUAGCAAGCCUUCAAGAAUCAAGAUACACAUAUAUAUAUGAUCCGCAUCAUCAUAAUCAUCCUGUGUGACAGAAGAGAAAUCAAAGUGUAAGUGAUUGAUACCAAUGAUAUUUUCUUCUGUUCUCACAAACUUGAAAAGAAGCAAUCUUAUAUGUAUAUACUUUUAAAUUAAUUCAGCAAAAUAAUAAGCCUUGGUUCAAGAGUUAACUUACAGAAAAUUGUUGAAUCUUCAGCAAGUUCUGUCACAUCCUUAACUGUAAGCAAAUCAUUGUUCUUGGGAGAAAUUUAAUCGAUGUUGAUUUCAUUGGCUUUUCUUCCUAAUUCUGAUUGAUAUGUUCUUUCCCAUGCUUUAAGUAGUUAAGGAGCACAACUGAUCAUGAGAUCUUGCAAUAAUAUUUCUUUUUCUGGUCUUUGCUAUGCUUGUGUUUGUGGUUUUUUAGGACCCCAAUAACUUGUGAAGAUCCAUUCAGUGAUAGAUCUCAGUCCAGGUUUUCCUUUUUUUGAGAAUAAUUUCAUCAAGUUGGGUAAAUUCUUUUCAUUUAGGUUUGUCAGUUUGCCAAAUUUCCCCAUUCCACUUCUUGGAUUUUUCUGAUUAGGGUUGUGCCCUACUUGAGCAAAGCUUAAAUGACUAAUUGCUAGCUUGGAUUGGUUAAUUCUUUCCAUUAGGUUUGAUCUUAUUUGUUUAAUUUUUUGUGUUGGUUUGAGCACACAUUAUUGGUCUUUGUAUUAUUUCUUAUACUUUGGUGAAUAAAGGUAAUUUGAUGCCAGGUUGUCAACAUUGCACCGGUAGAGGUACUGUUUUUCUUCUGAAAUUGAUACAUACCUGUACUAGUUUUUUAGGACCCAGAAAACUUGUGAAGAUCCAUUCAGGAAUUGAUCUCAGCAAAUCAAUCAUCAUAGUCGUUUGAAUUGACUGCAAAUGUGAUACUUUUUGAGAGCAAAAUGAAAAAAAGGCUUGAAUGUUUGGCUGAUCAUUUUUGUUAUUUUGGUAGCUAUUAUGGCCUAUUAUUAUAUACACUGGAAGGAGGUUUUGAUAGGAUGGGGUAUUGAUGAUGCCGAGUGAGCUUCAUGAGUUUGGUUAUUCUUCACGACUAGGUCUAUACUAAACUUAGCCUGGCAAACAACUGCAUCCAUAAAUUUGGUUUUCUUCCUUGUUUGGCGAUUUCUGCAUUGGAAAGGUAUAUUUUUAGAGGAAGACUGCCAUUAACAUUGAAGCAUGGAAAGCCUGAUCAGGAAGCCUAAUAAUAUUUUUGAAGCAUAGAAAGCCUGAUAAUACUAUCUUUGCAAGGACUUUCUGGCAAAGGCUGCAAUUGAAAAUCAUGUUUUUGUGUGUAUGUGCCUAUGCUUGCAUGUGUGUUUUCUUAGAAUAUGUAUACUAAUUGUUGAAAAGAGAAAAGUUUUUUAGGUUAUCAUUUUGUAAUAAAUUAAAAUAUUAAUAUUGUCUUUGAUGUUGUCUCAUACAUAUAUAUUGCCCGCCAUUA